rnacentral:lncRNA from 1 species
UUUAGAUUAAUUAACAGAUAAGCCAAAAGUAGGCUUCGGUAGAGAAUUCAUAUUUUUUUCCAGAUUAAUUGAAAGAGUUUAACUUGUUUACUUGCCUAAAAAAUCAAAUGUGUGCGAGAGCUGCCUGGUUAAUAAUGGACAUUUCUGAGGAGUGGUAGUGAAAAGUGAUCCUCGUUUGGCUGAAGGAAAAAAGGCACCUGCGCAUCAAAUGAGUGUGUAAACCAAAUGCUGACCUAAAAGUCCUAAGUGUCCUAAAAGUGAACCAAUAGCAGUGUGUGGAGGAAUAGUAAUAAUAAAAAGAGAAGUCUUUAUUUUAAAUACCACAUUAUCAUUUAGCUGACAUACAAGAAAAUAAAUGAGUGUUGAGAUGAUAAGAACGAACAGCUACAAAGAGGCACUUCGGAGUGGUAUUCACAGUGUUGUAUAUUGUUUCAAAUGUACAAUACCAAAUUAUUUUGGAACAGAAAAGAUGAAAUUUUUUUAUAGGUCAAAAUAUUCUCCAUUUUAAUCUUUCAUUUCAAGGCUGGUAUUUGGAUGGUGUUGCUGUUGGGCUUCCAGUUUUUCUUUCUCUCUUCCUUUCUCUUUCUUCCUUUCCUUCCUUCUCUUUUUCCUUCGUUCCUUCACUCUUUUCUUUCUCUCUUUCUCUCCUUCUCUCUUUCUUUCUCUCUUUCUCUUCUUCUCUCUUUUUUCUCUUUUUUCUCUUUUUUCUCUUUCUCUCUCUCUUUUUCUUUCUUUCUUUCUUUCUUUCUUUCUUUCUUUCUUUGUUUCUUUCUUUCUUUCUUUCUUUCUUUCUUUCUUUCUUUCUUUCUUUCUUUCUUUCUUUCUUUCUUUCUUUCUUUCUUUCUUUCUUUCUUUCUUUCUUUCUUUCUUUCUUUCUUUCUUUCUUUCUUUCUUUUCUCUCUUUCUCUCUCUCUUUUUCUUUCCUUCUUUCCUCCUCCCUCUCUUUUUCUUUCUAUCUUUCUUUUCUUACUUUAAAUCCAAAGCAGUGGAGCUGAGCAUGAGAAGCAGUAAUUUCUUUGAAUCUUAAUGCAGUCUGUCUUCUUAAUGAGCCUCCUGCACUGCCCUGAAAACAGCCCUUUACAAAUAAACAUGCUGGAAGUGAUUUAGCCACAAUGUCCAGACUGUGUAAACAUCUAAUUAUUACAAUAAAAUUGUCAAUAAAUAUACAUUACUGCUCCCUUUUCAAACGUUAACCAACUUUCGUCUUUGCUUGAUAAAAAGGUAUAAAUUGUAUGUUUGUGCCGUGCUGGGUUCUGUUUCCAUUACGCGCUCUCUGCUCUCCAGACAAAAGGACACAGCCUAAUGCUGGGGUUAUUCCUGGAUGGCGAUAAGUCCUACAGUAGUUUUAUAAUGUAAAGUGCAGUGUUUCCUUUCACAGUAAAAUGGACUCGGAGCUGAUGUUUAGUCACGGCAUCUUUUAUUUUUCCCCCCAAAUAAAAGGGCUAUAAAACCUGUUAUUUUACCUGCUGUAACUGCAGGGUAGGCACGCGAUUAAAACCCGCUUGUUAGAGGGAGGAACGGACAUAAUGCUGCAUUAGGGCUGCGAGAGCAAAUAGGAAAAUGGAGUAAUUUUCUCAAAAAUAUGAAGUUCUGCUUUCAGGAUUACGGCAUCGUGUCGACCAUAAUUGCGGCAUGCCCCCCUUUCCCAUACGUCCCCCCUUCUUGCAUAUCUUAUGUAAGUGGAACAUUAACAUCAGAAAAGCCGAGCGAUAUUGAAUCCUAAUGAGGUCUGGCCUAUAUGCUGGGGCAGGAGAAGAAUGAGGAUCAUUCAUUUGUAUGCCACGAAGCGUUCAGGACUCCGCGAGCAUCCCCGUGGCUCCAGCGCGCGGUGCUGAUCAUCUGUUCUUGCUUUGGGGGGUUCCACGGCUCCGAGCAGCAUCUGAGCUGGGCAAAAAACAGUUAACUGCUUUGCUGCGAGCUUUUGUUAUAUAAUGACAAUUUAAUACGGUGGCUAUUUUUUUGUUAACCUGCUUUAAAAAGGUCUUUCACAUGGUUAAAUUAAUCUUCUGAUUAGCUGUGCCUGCCAGGUAAAAUAUGAGAAGGACAGUGGCACGGGACGUGUAAAUGCGCGAUCCAGUCCUGGUAAACACGUCUGUUUUCAAUAAUCACUGUCACGACAGCGGCCAUUCGCUCCGAAAAGAUAUUUUUAAAGUACUUCUUGUUGUAUUUCACUGCUCGUGUUCACACCUCUUUUCAUCUUUUUCUUUUAACCCAGAAGAUGCCCAGCGCAGUGAUGCGGUAUUUCAAAAGAGCAGGGUGAAAUGCUUCCCGAAACCGAGGUAUAAAAGAUCCGUGCAAAUUGCCACGCAAAAUGAUCUGCACAAAAAGGCAUCGGGGAAGGGAGCGAGGGCUGUGCCAAACAGAUGGCACACCCUGCUGUGUUUUUGAUUGAAAAAGAAAGGUAACAUUUGCAGCCACGUCAAAGAGACAGUGAUCAGCUAAACAAAUUGGUCUCCGAAGUGCAGCCGUGCUGGAGCAGACCCUGCUGCAGGGUACGGCG